AUUUUAUGGGCUCAAAUAAUAUUUUUCUUUUGUAUUAAAGUAAAGAAUUUGCCUUCCGUUUCAUCCAGGGAAUUGCACUAUCUGAAAACACAGGUUCCCCACACAUUUCCUCAUAGCUAUGUGCUCUCAUUGCUGGGAUAGAGCCAGAGCUGCUUGCACACGUGUGUGUGACACGGGCUGAGGGAUGAUAUCUGUGCUCGGCCCACACGCCAUUUCUUUCUGUGAGCAAUCCUGUUAGAAACAGACCUCCGUGAUCAGUGAAAAACAUAUUGACUUUAAUGCCUCUUGGCACUGAAAAUCAUUUGUUCUGUCCCACCAUGGCAAGUCUAUGCUAGCAGCCCUGGUUAUGAGUAGAGAACAUUUUAUUAUUUAUCAUCUUUAAGCAUGUUCUGCUCCGAAGAAGUGCUGCUUUUAACGAUAGAUAUUUGGUGAUGUGAAUAUAAAAUACAUCACAGUUUCUGGUAUCUUUUUAAUUUUACAGAUGACACAGCUUAAAACCAGGAACAUCAAGUAAAAUAACUACUGCUGAGAGGGAAUAAAAGUUGGCAGUAAGAUGGGUUUCUGCCUGAAACCAGAGGUGUGGUGCAAAUCCUCGGUUGCUGUGACCUGCUUUAGCCCUGCUGGAAAAGAAGCCACAGAUAAAAGAGUGCCCUUAAGACCUUCUAUCUACCCUGUCAAUCAAAUGAAUCAGUGA
rnacentral:lncRNA from 1 species